CCUACGGGAGGCAGCAGUGGGGGAUAUUGCACAAUGGGGGAAACCCUGAUGCAGCGACGCCGCGUGUGGGAAGACGGUCUUCUGGAUUGUACACCACUGUCCCCAGGGACGAAAAUGACGGUACUUGCGGAGGAAGCUCCGGCUAACUACGUGCCAGCAGCCGCGGAAAUACGUAGGGAGCAAGCGUUGUCCGGAAGUACUGGGCGUAAAGCGCCAGUAGGCGGUAUGUCAAGUCCAGAGUGAAAGCCCCGGGCUCAACGGGGGAAUUGUAUUUGAAACUGGCAAACGGGAGUGUGUGAGAGGAAAGUGGAAUUCCAGGUGUAGGAGUGAAAUCCGUAGAUAUCAGGAGGAACAUCAGUGGCGAAGGCGACUAUCUGGCACAUAACUGACGCUGAGGAGCGAAAGCGUGGGUAGCAAACAGGAUUAGAUACCCCGGUAGUC
rnacentral:rRNA from 1 species